rnacentral:rRNA from 1 species
UACGUAGGGGGCUAGCGUUGUCCGGAAUCAUUGGGCGUAAAGAGCGUGUAGGCGGUCCGGUAAGUCCGCUGUGAAAGUCGGGGGCUCAACCCUCGGAUGCCGGUCGAUACUGCCGGACUAGAGUUCGGAAGAGGCGAGUGGAAUUCCCGGUGUAGCGGUGAAAUGCGCAGAUAUCGGGAGGAACACCUAUGGCGAAGGCAGCUCGCUGGGACGUUACUGACGCUGAGACGCGAAAGCGUGGGGAGCAAACAGG